rnacentral:rRNA from 1 species
GUAGGGAAUAUUGCGCAAUGGGGGAAACCCUGACGCAGCGACGCCGCGUGAGUGAUGAAGGCCUUAGGGUCGUAAAGCUCUGUUGAAUGGGAAGAAAAAAAUGACGGUACCAUUCGAGGAAGGACCGGCUAACUUCGUGCCAGCAGCCGCGGUAAUACGAGGGGUCCUAGCGUUGUUCGGAAUCAUUGGGCGUAAAGGGUGUGUAGGUGGCCAUGUAAGUCAGGUGUGAAAGCCCCGGGCUCAACCCGGGAAGUGCACUUGAUACUGCGUGGCUUGAGUACCGAAGAGGGUAGUGGAAUUCCAGGUGUAGUGGUGAAAUACGUAGAUAUCUGGAGGAACACCGGUGGCGAAGGCGGCUACCUGGUCGAGUACUGACACUGAGACACGAAAGCAUGGGGAUCAAACAGGAUUAGAAACCCCGGUAGUCC